rnacentral:rRNA from 1 species
AGUGAACGCUGGCGGUAGGCCUAACACAUGCAAGUCGAACGGCAGCACAGUAAGAGCUUGCUCUUACGGGUGGCGAGUGGCGGACGGGUGAGGAAUACAUCGGAAUCUACUUUUUCGUGGGGGAUAGCGUAGGGAAACUUACUCUAAUACCGCAUACGACCUACGGGUGAAAGCAGGGGAUCUUCGGACCUUGCGCGAUUGAAUGAGCCGAUGUCGGAUUAGCUAGUUGGCGGGGUAAAGGCCCACCAAGGCGACGAUCCGUAGCUGGUCUGAGAGGAUGAUCAGCCACACUGGAACUGAGACACGGUCCAGACUCCUACGGGAGGCAGCAGUGGGGAAUAUUGGACAAUGGGCGCAAGCCUGAUCCAGCCAUACCGCGUGGGUGAAGAAGGCCUUCGGGUUGUAAAGCCCUUUUGUUGGGAAAGAAAAGCAGCAGGUUAAUACCCCGCUGUUCUGACGGUACCCAAAGAAUAAGCACCGGCUAACUUCGUG